rnacentral:rRNA from 1 species
GACGAACGCUGGCGGCGUGCCUAAUACAUGCAAGUAGAACGCACAGUUUAUACCGUAGCUUGCUCCACCAUAGACUGUGAGUUGCGAACGGGUGAGUAACGCGUAGGUAACCUGCCUGGUAGCGGGGGAUAACUAUUGGAAACGAUAGCUAAUACCGCCUAAUAUUUAUUAUUGCAUGAUAAUUAAUUGAAAGGUGCAAUUGCACCACUACCAGAUGGACCUGCGUUGUAUUAGCUAGUAGGUGAGGUAACGGCUCACCUAGGCGACGAUACAUAGCCGAACGGAGAGGGUGAUCGGCCACACUGGGACUGAGACACGGCCCAGACUCCUACGGGAGGCAGCAGUAGGGAAUCGUCGGCAAGGGACGAAAGUCUGACCGAGCAACGCCGCGUGAGGGAAGAAGGUUGUCGGAUCGGAAAGCUCGGUUGUAAGAGAAGAACGGGGGUGAGAGUGGAAAGUUCACACUGUGACGGUAUCUUACCAGAAAGGGACGGCUAACUACGUG